UUUACGGGAGGCAGCAGCAGGGAAUCUUCCACAAUGGACGAAAGUCUGAUGGAGCGACGCCGCGUGAGGGGUGAAGGCUUUAGGGUCGUAAACCUCUUUUCUCAGGGAAGAGCAAGGACGGUACCUGAGGAAUAAGUGACGGCUAACUACGUGCCAGCAGCCGCGGUAAU
rnacentral:rRNA from 1 species